GAUGAACGCUGGCGGCGUGCCUAAUACAUGCGAGUCGAGCGAACGGACGAGAAGCUUGCUUCUCUGAUGUUAGCGGCGGACGGGUGAGUAACACGUGGAUAACCUACCUAUAAGACUGGGAUAACUUCGGGAAACCGUAGCUAAUACCGGAUAAUAUUUUGAACCGCAUGGUUCAAAAGUGAAAGACGGUCUUGCUGUCACUUAUAGAUGGAUCCGCGCUGCAUUAGCUAGUUGGUAAGGUAACGGCUUACCAAGGCAACGAUGCAUAGCCGACCUGAGAGGGUGGUCGGCCACACUGGAACUGAGACAGGGUCCAGACUCCUACGGUAGGCAGCAGUAGGGAAUCUUACGCAAUGGGCGAAAGCCUGACGGAGCAACGCCGAGUGAGUGAUGAAGGUCUUCGGAUCGUAAAACUCUGUUAUUAGGGAAGAACAUAUGUGUAAGUAACUGUGCACAUCUUGACGGUACCUAAUCAGAAAGCCACGGCUAACUACGUG
rnacentral:rRNA from 1 species